rnacentral:hammerhead_ribozyme from 15 species
CAGGCGUCUAAGGUAGGCUCCCACUACGUUACCUUACUGAUGAGUCUAAUAGUGGAAGCCGGGACGAAACGCCAA